GAAAAUCACAAUCAAGUAACACUUCAAAACUGAAGGUUUUGUAAAUCUAUCAGCUACUUUAUAUUAUAGAUGCAAGGAAGACCUGCUGUGCAGCUUAUACCUCCACUCUAGAUUUCUCCACAGCGAAAUCAAAACAUGGAACGACAUGUGACCGUUUAAGCAGAGCUGCUUACCAGAAUCCCCGAGGUGCCUGGGCAUUGUGACAUAAUCCAGUCUUGAAUUCUUACAAAAC